AUUAAUUUUCAUGUUUUAAUAUUGUUUUUUUUAUGAUAUAAUUAUUUACUAAUAAAUCGUUAUUAUUUUUCAGGUUUAAUUAUCAAAUAUGGAUUUUACUAAAAUAAAUUAUUAUCUUGAAUUAACAAAAACAGAAUUUAAAUAAGAUUUUCAUGAAAACCGAUUUAUGAAAUAAAUAUAUAUUCGAUUAAAAUUUCAAUUAAUAAUAUUUUCAUUAAGUUAUGAAAUUAUAUUUAUAUUAAAAUUCGUUAUUUAUAAAAUUCUUGAUUUAUAAAGGUUAUGAUUUAUAAAAUAUUGAUUUUAAAUUAUUUAUCGAUUUAGUACUAAUUCAAUGAUUUAAUAUUUUGAAAGAAUUGAACUCGGAGCUCAGGACGAACGAACCAAGGAAAAUCCCUAGGAAAUCGCGGAGUUAGGUACCGCUGGGAACGAUGGGAACGAGUAGUGGCGAGGAUUUCACUAUUAUAUUAUUCACCUAGUUUAUGCUUAAUGUUUUAAUAGUUUAAUUAAAGACUUUUAGUAAUUUAUGUACUUAUAUUUUGGGAAUAUAAAGGAUUAUUAUAUUAGAUUGGAGGUUUUUAUGGCUUA